AGUGAACGCUGGCGGUAGGCCUAACACAUGCAAGUCGAACGGCAGCACAGUAAGAGCUUGCUCUUACGGGUGGCGAGUGGCGGACGGGUGAGGAAUACAUCGGAAUCUACUUUUUCGUGGGGGAUAACGUAGGGAAACUUACGCUAAUACCGCAUACGUCCUACGGGUGAAAGCAGGGGAUCUUCGGACCUUGCGCGAUUGAAUGAGCCGAUGUCGGAUUAGCUAGUUGGCGGGGUAAAGGCCCACCAAGGCGACGAUCCGUAGCUGGUCUGAGAGGAUGAUCAGCCACACUGGAACUGAGACACGGUCCAGACUCCUUCGGGAGGCAGCAGUGGGGAAUAUUGGACAAUGGGCGCAAGCCUGAUCCAGCCAUACCGCGUGGGUGAAGAAGGCCUUCGGGUUGUAAAGCCCUUUUGUUGGGAAAGAAAAGCAGCAGGUUAAUACCCCGCUGUUCUGACGGUACCCAAAGAAUAAGCACCGGCUAACUUCGUG
rnacentral:rRNA from 1 species